rnacentral:rRNA from 1 species
GACGUAGGGCGCGAGCGUUGUCCGGAUUUAUUGGGCGUAAAGAGCUCGUAGGCGGCUCAUUGCGUCAACCGUGAAAACCAGCAGCUCAACUGUUGGCUUGCGGUUGAUACGGGGUGGGCUGGAGUUCGGUAGGGGGAGACUGGAAUUCCUGGUGUAGCGGUGAAAAUGCGCAGAUAUCAGGAGGAACACCCAGUGGCGAAGGCGGCCCCGCUGGGGCAAGUGGCUGACGCUGAGGCGCGACAGCGUGGGGGAGCAAACAGG